GGAGAGAGUGUGAGGGGACAGGAUGGAGAGUGAGGGGACAGACAGGGUGUGUGAGGGACAGGAGAGAGUGUGAGGGGGCAGACAGGGUGUGUGAGGGGACAGACAGCGUGUGUGAGGGGACGGACAGGGUGUGUGAGGGACAGACAGGGUGUGUGAGGGACAGACAGGGUGUGUGAGGGGAUGGACAGGGUGUGUGAGGGGACAGGAGAGUCUCUGAGGGACGGACAGGGUGUGUGGGGGGACAGGAGAGUCUCUGAGGGACGGACAGGGUGUGUGAGGGGACAGGAGAGUCUCUGAGGGACGGACAGGGUGUGUGGGGGGACAGGAGUGUCUAUGAGGGACGGACAGGGUGAGGUGAGGUGGCUGUGCUGGGGACAGGAAGGAGCCAGCUGGAACUGCAAAAUGAAGAGGAAAAGAGCCCUAGCUGUGUGGAGCUGCCCAUGGGAGGCUACAGAGAAAAGAGUCCUGGGGAGGUUUCUCAGCCUCUGCUGAAGUCCUGAGACCCCUGUGGAUGCGCUGGGUGUGAUACAACGCCUCCACCACAGAGGUUACUACUAUUCACCAGCAUGGAAAGACUUUCUGGUACCUCAGAGGUCUCCAAGAUGACUUCACAAGAGGUCACUUGGUGGAACUGAAAGGCAAAUGCUUCAGCUUGGAUGAAAGCAAACAGCUCGUGCCUGCCAACGUAACGUGGAGGAGACCGAGGAAUGUCCUGCUGCAGAACGGCAUUGGCAGAGCUGGAAAAGUAACAUUUGUAAAGGUUUUUAAUAGGUUAUCACCUUUAGCCUGCACUGCAGCUGUAGCCACUGCUAUGCUGGGAUUAACACUCCAAAUGCCAGGAUUUUAGAGUGAUGAGCUGCUCAUGCUCUUCGUCAAGAACGGUUCCCCACACACAGAACAGCAGCAGUUCCUGCCGCACAGAGGUGUGGGAUGUGGAUGUCCUCGGUGUUAAAACUCCCAGGUGCCAUUCCUAAAGCCCAGCCGCUCGGCAGUCCGGUCCCACAGAGCCCACCCGUGGUGGCAAGGACACCUGGCAGGUCACCCAGGAAAGAAAGGAGCCUCCCAGAUCCUGGUGCCCCAGCCCUGGCUGGUGAUGCUAGCUAAUGCUUCAGAGUGUUUGCAGCUGAGAGCAGAAGCACGGAGCAGCUCUCUGUGCUUCAACUGCUUUAUUUCUUGUGCACGUGGGCGAAACAAUCGUAAUUGGAUUUUUUAGACAUUAAUAAUUUCCUUGUGCUGCCACCCAAGCACUGCUUUGGGAUUAACUUCUAGUGAGGCUCCUCUCUCCUUCUGCAGCCCUGUGAGGAGAAGCACCAGCCUUUCUCCAGAAGAUGUUCCAGAAAGGGUUUGCCUGUGACCACCUGAGUAGCAGUGGCCUUUGCUGGGAGAAAGGAGUUACAGGGGCACUGCAGGCAGUGGUCCCAAGGGAGCGAGGUAGAAACCGUGCAGGUGUGGAUGAAGGAAGUUUUGCAGGAGAUAACUGCCCCUCUCUCCUUGUGCUCAGCUCUCCAGAUGAGAGUUGUUCCCUGCUCCUGUCCAUUCCAGCCACGUGCCAAGGUGCUGCCUCUCUAUUUGGUACCCUGCAGCCACGGGGAGCCCAACAGCCCCGGGGUUUGUGCAGUCACUUGGCGUUCAGGCAGUGCCUGUGUGGGCCACAGGCUGCCUGGGAAAAGGAGCUGAUCCCCUGCAAACCCUCUUGGACACAGGAAGGAAAACUGGCCUCUAGAAAUGCUGGGGGGGACCACCCUUGAUAGCUUCUUUGCAGUGUCUCCCAACAGCUCAGCCUUGAACUACCUAAAAUAACGUGUUAGCCUUCAUUUCCAUAGCUUUUGAUUUCCAGCCUGUAACGAGGGCUGGGAAAUGACAUUUUUGGCACAUUGUCAGAAUGAUUUUAACCUGAGAAUGCUCCUGUACAGAUGUUUUCCUUGCUUUCUCUAAAGCAAAGCCAAAGGAACAGUAUGGGAUGCUCUGAAUGAGAUGCCUAGGAAGACAGAUUUGGGAUUUCCCAGCCAGCUCUACCUUGGCUGAGAGCAGCAGGAACUUCCCAGCCCUGGAAGGGCCUUCUUGUCACAGCCUGUUCCCUGCAAACAUGUUUGAGAGGCAGGAUGGGGCCCCCACCUGCCUCCCUGAGCUGCCUGUAUCGAACAGCACACCCAGCCAAACCACGCUGAAGUCUGUCUGGGCUCUUGCUUAGGGCUAAACACCUUUUGCCAAGUUGCUUUACUGCACUAUCAAGCCUUUGCUCCCCAGAGUAACAGCUCAGAGUUCACUUAACUAAAGGAAAAUUAUUUGUUUGAAUUUUCCCCUGGGGUGGUUCACUUUUCUUUCCAAAUUUUUCUGUUCCUCCUUCACUGCACUGUCUUUGGAAAUGAAUAAAGGGGCGAUUUUUGUUUAACCUCCCCAGGUCUUUCAGGCACAGGCUGUGUGUCCGUGGAGGUGCCUGGCUGUUCUGUGUGUGCUGUUGGGCUAAGGUAAGAGCUUACACUUUCCUAUUUUCCAGGAGGUGCAAAUUCUACUUGCCAACACCAGCAGCUCAGGACAGGGGUGAGCAACAAGCAGGGUCCCCUCCCUCUGCCAGCUUCUGGGCGUUUUCUUCCAGGCUUUCUCUCCUCUUGACACUUGCACGCACUUUUAGGGAUCAUUCAUACAGCCUGAUCUCCUUGAUUGAUGUUCAUACCCCUAGGUGUGAAAACUACCUUCUAAAACAGGGUUGUGAUUCAGAUGUGCAGGAACGUUUCAAGUCCUCUGGUGACCACUUAGUGGCAAGCCCGCUCUUAAAUUUUCCACUGCCAAC